UACGGAGGGAGCUAGCGUUGUUCGGAAUUACUGGGCGUAAAGCGCACGUAGGCGGCUUUGUAAGUUAGAGGUGAAAGCCCAGGGCUUAACUCUGGAAUUGCCUUUAAGACUGCAUCGCUAGAAUCGUGGAGAGGUGAGUGGAAUUCCGAGUGUAGAGGUGAAAUUCGUAGAUAUUCGGAAGAACACCAGUGGCGAAGGCGACUCACUGGACACGUAUUGACGCUGAGGUGCGAAAGCGUGGGGAGCAAACAGG
rnacentral:rRNA from 1 species